rnacentral:rRNA from 1 species
UGCAGUCGAGCGGUAACACAGGGAGCUUGCUCCUGGGUGACGAGCGGCGGACGGGUGAGUAAUGUCUGGGAAACUGCCUGAUGGAGGGGGAUAACUACUGGAAACGGUAGCUAAUACCGCAUAACGUCGCAAGACCAAAGAGGGGGACCUUCGGGCCUCUUGCCAUCAGAUGUGCCCAGAUGGGAUUAGCUAGUAGGUGGGGUAACGGCUCACCUAGGCGACGAUCCCUAGCUGGUCUGAGAGGAUGACCAGCCACACUGGAACUGAGACACGGUCCAGACUCCUACGGGAGGCAGCAGUGGGGAAUAUUGCACAAUGGGCGCAAGCCUGAUGCAGCCAUGCCGCGUGUAUGAAGAAGGCCUUCGGGUUGUAAAGUACUUUCAGCGGGGAGGAAGGUGUUGAGGUUAAUAACCUCAGCAAUUGACGUUACCCGCAGAAGAAGCACCGGCUAACUCCGUGCCAGCAGCCGCGGUAAUACGGAGGGUGCAAGCGUUAAUCGGAAUUACUGGGCGUAAAGCGCACGCAGGCGGUCUGUCAAGUCGGAUGCGAAAUCCCCGGGCUCAACCUGGGAACUGCAUUCGAAACUGGCAGGCUAGAGUCUUGUAGAGGGGGGUAGAAUUCCAGGUGUAGCGGUGAAAUGCGUAGAGAUCUGGAGGAAUACCGG